AGCUGCGUACCUACGCUUAUCAAGGAAGGAAGAGCAGCCCUUGUUACAUCAUUCGGAGUAUUCAAAUACAUGGCUCUCUACAGUAUGAUCCAGUAUACGACAGUAUUGAUAUUGAACUCGAUUGAUUCGUUUCCAAGUGACUGGAUGUUUAUGUACUGGGAUGUUGCUAUCACUUCCAUAGUUGCCCUUUUGAGUG